rnacentral:lncRNA from 1 species
AAAAGUGGGCACCUAAUCGAUCCUGAUGGAUUUGAGUUACCACAGCCAUACGCAGUUUCAGAUAGAAUCAAUGUCUGCCCGGAAACAUUCCCCAGGCCUAGUAACCAGAUGAGAGUUCAAGAUGAAUACGGGCAAAUCCAUCGAAUACCCCAUGACCUGAAAACUGAUCAGGGUUAUAUUCGACCACCGAGACCGCCUCGCCCCCGAGCGGAUUCCGUGCAUAACUAUCGUGUAGUCGAUCAGAAUAAAAUAAUCACGGCUGCAGACAUUCAUACCCCUCCACCUGAAUAUGAGAAGAGGUAUACACAGGAGGGAAAAACUUUCAGGAGAAACCCUCAAAUUCAACCUCAUGGUGAAGUACAGACUAAUUGCAGAGGCUUGCAACACAGUGAUAUUCAGCAGAGUUUCCAUCAGCCGGCCCAGUCUUACGACCAAAUAACGGACGAGUGUGCUCCCUCAAGAAUAAGUGAUAAAUUUGUAUUCAACGAGACGCUUGAUUCUAAAGCUUUGGCAGAUGAAAGUCCGCCUCCAUUUUUUCGGAAGCAAGAUUGGGACUCAGAUACUCCCAAAAUGUUAGCAGAUGAGAGUCCCCCUCCAUUCUUCGCAAGGCAAGAGUGGGACUCGAGUUCUUCUACGAGUGAUGAGAAGUGCUCGCCAGAAAAUGUUUGCAGGAAAUUGUAAGAUGAUGUCACCUAAACGCUUAUCCUUUCCGAGCAGCCCUGAAAGCAUCCAAGAUAGAGAGGACCCUGUGAGUACGGAUUGUUUACUACCUGAGGCGCCUUCAACGACCGAGUCAAAACUUGAAGGCAUUUUAAAGAAAAACGAAAUUAGAGAAGCACAGUCUGCGUCAGGAGGAGUAUUCAAGGAUGACGUUGAGACAUGCGACCUUGCUAAGUAUCCAAAUGAUCCCUCUGGUAAAUCAGCAAAGGAUGUAACUUCGUCAAAACCUAUCGCUGAAAAUGCUCUGUCCCCUUUCAUUCCAUUGUGCAACUCCACAAAAAUUGACGAACAUUUGGAACAUUCAAGGGAUUCAUUUUCCUGUCCGCCUAAGAUUGAGGAAAAUGAAAUAGUUCCAGACGGAGACAUUUUAGUGCCACGUAAUCUGUUUUGUGACCCUAGGAAUAGUCGAACCUUUAAAACUCCCUCAAAUGGCAAUGCGGAAUAUAUAAAUUAUUCCCCGUGUAAUUUGGGUAUCGUUCAGGCCAUUAAGACUCCUUCUAACAGAAAUUCCCUGCCAUCAUAUACUCUUGAGGCUGAUUCAGUCGCGAAUAAGAGCAAGGAGACUUCAGAACGUUGGAAGAGCUUUCGUUCGGGCAAUGCAGUUUUCGUUGACGCAAUGAAAAGUCAGUCAAAUGGCGGUUCUCAAGAACCGACUGAUUCCGUCCGCAAAUUAACAAUGACUGAUAAAAUCCAAACUUGCGCCAGAAAAAAUUUAAAAGCACCUCCUGGACCUGUUUCCAGCAUUACAUCUGUGGGAGGGACCAUUCAGAGUCCCUUCAAUGAAAACUCUCAACUCUCAACGAUUUUCUCUAACGACGCAGUCCUAGCGAAAACCGAGAAAACUUUGGCUCGGUGGAGGAAAUUCUGCUCAUGUAAUUUACCUUUGGAUAAUGCUAUGGAUAAUCAAUUAAACACAAAUUUGCAAGACUCCAAUGACGACAAUGAAAAUUUAACAACGUUUGAAUGCAAUAACACUUUCUCAAACAAAAAUUCGGAGCAUCUCGACGAUUUGUCAUGUAGCUUACCCGUGACAGGGACCAUCGAAAAUGUACUGAAAGGAAAAUGUUUGCUCCAUUGUGAUCGUUCGGGCAGCGAGUCAACACUCCACGCCUUAGAGAACUGCUUCAACAACCUGACGGCUCUUGACGCUCUAGAAAACCGCUUAAGAAAAGUGACGACGGAAACCGCCGCACAGAUUUGUUCAAGCGAAAAAGCGGAUCGUCCACAAAAUCUAAUGUGUGAAUCGGCUUGGACCAACGCUAUGGACAUUUUUUUGAAACCUUCGAGUCAUUUAAUAACGGUCGAGUCUAUUAGAACUUACUUGAACGAAAAUGCGGACGAUCCUGAUAGUUCAUCCUGCAGCUCAGCUGUAAUUGAAGGCGAAAAGAGGUCUUCAGAUGGGGAUACUUCGCUUCAAGGUGAUGUCUCAGGCUACGUGUUAACGUUUAACGACCCGGAGAAUUCCUUUAACGCUGCGAAAAUUUGCUCGAAUAGGAAUGAUGACCAUUCAAAUAAUCCAAAAUGUGAUUCCGCUUGGACUGACACGGUGGAAAUAAGCUUGAAGCCAGCGAGCAGCAGAACAACCAUCCAUUCCAUGCUACCCUGCUUAAACCAGAAGGAGGGUAAUCCUAAUGUCUCAUCAUAUAAUCUACUUGUGGUUAAGGCCAAAGAUAAUAACUCCCAAGAUAACGUUCUACUCCAAGGUGAUCUCUUGGGCAGCGUAUCGAUAGAUGAGGAGCAAGGGAACCAUCUCAAUGGCUUGAGGGUGGCUCACGCUUUGGAGCUUCGCUCGAAUGGAAAUGUUGAUGAUCUGAAUAACGAAAAAACUGACUCGUCUUUGGUUGAUGCUAGGAGAACUUUUUUAAAUCCCAUGAGCAGCUUGACAAGUGUUGAUAGGCCAGGGCAUGGCUUAAAAAGGACCGUGGAGAAUGCUGAUGACUGCUCAUGCGGUUCAGCUGUUAUUGAGGCUGAGAGGAGUCCCAGACCCUUACAGGGGGAUGUUCCACUCCAGUGCGAUCUUACGGGCGGUGUGUCAAUGGAAGGCCGAGGCAGAUCGAAGAAUUGUCUCAGUGACGCUGCGGUAAUUAAUACUCUGAUGACUUGCUCGAAUGGAAAUGAUGAUUUUUCGAUACAUCAAAAGAACAAUUUAGCUUGGACUGACGCCAUGGAAAGAUUUUUAAAUUCUUCGUGUAACCCAACGACUGUAGACGCCGUAACACCUUGCUCAAAAAAAAAUAACUAUAAUUCUGAUGGAUCCUUUGAUGGAAAACCUGAGGUUGAAUGUAUCCCAAAAUCGUGCAGUUCAGUCAAAGCUAAAGUUAUUCAAAGCCUAAAAAAAGGAAAUUCUCAACCGUCAAAUACUCCUGCUGAUGAUUUAGGUAUAAUUCAAGAUGAGGAGUCUUUGGGACGCCCCGAAGAUUUGCGUUCCAGAAAUUUACUUGUAAUUGACGCGAUGGAAAAUCACUUAAACGAGAUUUCCAAGCGUUUAGACAAUCUCUCGGGCAAUCCAACUUGGGGUACUACCAUCAGACAAUCCUUUAAAAAUAAUAAUGAAUGCUCAGAUGAUUUGUCGUGUAAUUCACCUCCGUUCAAUCCCACGAGCGAUUUCGGUAAUGACAAAAUUCUCCUUCAGUGUGAUCUCUCUGGUAGCUUAUCAACGGUUGACGUCCUGGAGUUAUGCUUGAGCAACCUGACAGCAGCGGCUGACGUUAUAGACACUUGCUCGAAAAUUAAUGAAAAUAAUGCGAAUGAACAUGCAUGCGAUUCAAGGGUGGCAAACGUCAUGAGCAAUACAUUGAGAAAAGAUGCUCAAAAAUCAAAUCAGUCAUGGGACAAGUUAACAAUGAGUGGGGAUAAGGAUAAAAAUCGCAAAAACGUAUAUCAUCCACCACGUCGCCAAACUUUGAUCGCCAAUAUGGAUACGUCUUUGACCAGAAAUACUGAAAGUUUAAGCAACCCUUCUAAUAUGGCAGGUGCGACUGUAAAUACAGAGAGUCCUCCAUAUGAUCAACAUUCUAGAGAUAUGCCAUGGAGAAUAGGGAUUGAUACUAGCAUUAUAAAUGGACCCGAUGAAAAUAAUUCACCCCUAUUAUGUGAGCCGUCGAGGAACACAUGUAAAUUUGACUCUAACAAGAAUGUACUGGCUGAAGGAGCCAAAAAUAAAAUUAAAAUUAUAAAAGAGUUACAUGCGCUUGAGUCAUCAAAGAGCAACGAUUGCGGAAAUGCUGAUCAACCAAAUAAUAAUCGGGGGUAUAAUUCAACCCCGGUGGACCCAACGGAGGGCAUUUUGAACCCUUCGAGCUCCUCAAAAGCGGUUGACGCCCCGACACCUCUUUCGAAAAAAAAUGCAGAGAACGCGCUACCUCAGUAUGGAUCGACGCGAAGGCUAACAGAGGAUAAAUCCACGAGGAGUUGCAACGACGUCACUGUUCGGCAAACAAACGAAUCGUUGAGUAUUGAUACGUUGCCUCAAACGGACUCAUCUCAAAGACUCCGCAAGGAUAAAACCAAGUCGAGUUGCUCGAAGAAAAAUUGUCAACAACCUAACCAGUCCCGAAGCAGGAAAGGUAUCACUGCAGGUGCCGAAGAUAUUAUUCAGAAUAAUGUGCUCCAUCCAGGCUGCGUAACUGUAUUUGAGGUCUUGGAUAGCGACUCGAUCCGAAAUUGCCAACAUCCAAAUGAUCAAUACGGGUCUUCAUCGGCUCGCCGAGGCUGUAACUCGGAGCUCGCCGUUUAUGCGACUCCCAGGAAAGAGCCGAUUUUUGAAGUCAUAGGGACUAUUGCGCCGGUGCCUCUCUCGAGAUUUACAGGAAUUGAGAUGAUAAGGGACAGUUCGAGCAGAGACAUUCUGAGUCAAGCAGACGUAUCGAAGGGCUUCGCGACAUUUGUUGAAAAAAAGUGCAGCUCGAAUUCCAUUGCACAUUUUCCACCGUGCAAAUCAGGGAUUAUUCAGGUCGUAGAGUAUGAAAAUGGGCCGUGUUUGAAUUGCUCUUCCUGCAGGGUAGCAACGGUUCACUCGGACGUAAAAACCCAAUAUUCAAAGGAGUCCUUAUGCGGGGUAGUAUCACCAGCACCAAUGAAGAAUAGUUCAAAUAGUAAUAUUACGCAUCCAAGUAGAUUUUGUGCGAUAGACUCUGCGACCAAUCAUCCGAAUGUUCAGCAUGUUAAUAAUCAUUUUGACACGCCAGCAGUCACUCCGGUAUCUACCUCCGGGGGUGCUUUUUACGUGAGCCCCACUUCAGGGCCAAGAUAUGAGGUCAAAAUUGGAGCAAUUACACCAUCUCAUUUUCCAGUUUACCCCGCAGACUCCAUGGGUUCAGAGGCCUCCGCUAAGACAUCACACCCCGGACUGUCCAAACCCUGCACGGCGUAUAGUUUAGAGUUCUUCCAACCUGACGAACUUCCCUCCUCCGGAACAGACAAUGGCACGGAGUAUGACUUGAAAUGCACGAAAAGGGAGCGAAAAAAUUGGUGUCUCGUGGAAAAAAUCCGAAACUCUCACGAAAGCGAACUAUUAAAGGACCUGAAUGAUGAUCCUCGUUUUUUGCUACUGACGUACCGGCUCGUGGGGUCAAAGGUGACAAAAAAUCCUUUCUCUAAACUUACAACAGACGAUAAGAUACAGCUGGUGGAAGAGUUAAAAAAAGAAAUGCCUCGUGGUGAAUGCGCCUUCAUCGAGCGAUUGCAUAGUUUAGAAGAGGAGUUGGACGAAAUUGGAUUUCUUGAUUAUUGAUUGACACUGUCCAAUUUCAUCACCGUCCUCACAUCUGUUCUAUCUAUGAUGGUACGUGAGUAUCAUCUUUUGUUUUUAAAUGUACUCAUGUUUUUACGUACCUACGGAC